AUUGAACGCUGGCGGCAGGCCUAACACAUGCAAGUCGAACGAGUGGCGGACGGGUGAGUAAUGUCUGGGAAACUGCCCUAUGGAGGGGGAUAACUACUGGAAACGGUAGCUAAUACCGCAUACCAUCAGAUGUGCCCAGAUGGGAUUAGCUUGUUGGUGGGGUAACGGCUCACCAAGGCGACGAUCCCUAGCUGGUCUGAGAGGAUGACGGCGGAGACUGAUACGGAGACACGGCCCAGAGUCCUACGGGGGGCAGGAGUGGGGAAUAUGGCACAAUGGACGCAUGCGUGAUGAAGCCAUGCCGCGUGUAGGAAGAAGGACUUGGGGUGGGAAAGUACUUUCAGCGGGGAGGCGUUACCGGCAGUAGAAGCACUGGCUAUCUCCGUGCCAGCAGCCGCGGUAAUAC
rnacentral:rRNA from 1 species